CCAUGCAUGUCUCAGUGCAGCCGUACGCGCUCGCGCGUCUAGGUGAAACCGCGAAAGGCUCAUUAAAUCAGUUAUGGUUCCUUGGAUCGUACCUCACACAAGUUACUUGGAUAACUGUGGUAAUUCUAGAGCUAAUACAUGCCGACAGAGUUCCAACCGCCUCAUAAGCGGGAGGAACGCUUUUAUUAGAUCAAAACCAAUCGGCGAGCGUGUUCGCACGCCGCCGCGUACACACGAUCCGCGCCUUGUGCCGGCUUCGUUCAAGUGGUGACUCUGAAUAACUUUGUGCUGAUCGCACGGUCUCAGUGCUGGCGAUGCAUCUUUCAAAUGUCUGCCUUAUCAACUGUAGAUGGUAGGUUAUGCGCCUACCAUGGUGGUAACGGGUGACGGGGGAUCAGGGUUCGAUCCCGGAGAGGGAGCCUGAGAAACGGCUACCACAUCCAAGGAAGGCAGCAGGCACGCAAAUUACCCACUCCCAGCCCAGGGGAGGUAGUGACGAAAUAUAACGAUACGGGACUCAUCCGAGGCCUCGUAAUCGGAAUGAGUACACUUUAAAACGUUUAACGAGGAUCCAUUGGAGGGCA
rnacentral:rRNA from 1 species